GAUGAACGCUGGCGGCGUGCCUAAUACAUGCAGGUCGAGCGAACAGACGAGGAGCUUGCUCCUCUGACGUUAGCGGCGGACGGGUGAGUAACACGUGGAUAACCUACCUAUAAGACUGGGAUAACUUCGGGAAACCGGAGCUAAUACCGGAUAAUAUAUUGAACCGCAUGGUUCAAUAGUGAAAGACGGUUUUGCUGUCACUUAUAGAUGGAUCCGCGCCGCAUUAGCUAGUUGGUAAGGUAACGGCUUACCGAGGCAACGAUGCGUAGCCGACCUGAGAGGGUGAUCGGCCACACUGGAACUGAGACACGGUCCAGACUCCUACGGGAGGCAGCAGUAGGGAAUCUUCCGCAAUGGGCGAAAGCCUGACGGAGCAACGCCGCGUGAGUGAUGAAGGUCUUCGGAUCGUAAAACUCUGUUAUUAGGGAAGAACAAAUGUGUAAGUAACUAUGCACGUCUUGACGGUACCUAAUCAGAAAGCCACGGCUAACUACGUG
rnacentral:rRNA from 1 species